AGUGAACGUUAGCGGCAGGCCUAACACAUGCAAGUCGCGCGAGAAUUGGGCUUCGGCCCAUAGUAAAGCGGCGGACGGGUGAGUAACACGUGGAUAAUCUGCCCUUCGGCGGGGGACAACAGUCCGAAAGGAUUGCUAAUACCGCAUACGUCGGCGAGGUCUUCGGAUCUUGCCGGGAAAGGUGGCCUCUUCAUGAAAGCUACCACCGAAGGCUGAGUCCGCGUCCCAUCAGCUAGUUGGCGGUGUAAGAGACCACCAAGGCUUAGACGGGUAGCUGGUCUGAGAGGAUGAUCAGCCACACUGGAACUGAGACACGGUCCAGACGCCUACGGGAGGCAGCAGUGGGGAAUAUUGGGCAAUGGGCGCAAGCCUGACCCAGCCAUGCCGCGUGAGUGAUGAAGGUCUUCGGGUCGUAAAGCUCUGUGGAGAGGGAAGAAACCCGCUAUGGCUAAUAUCCAUGGCGAUUGACGGUACCUCUUUAGCAAGCACCGGCUAACUCCGUGCCAGCCGCCGCCGUAA
rnacentral:rRNA from 1 species